AUAAAGGUUUGUGACCGUUUUUUUGGAACUUUCGGAACGCAUCCCGACUCGAGAAGAAUGAGAGUCACUGCUCCGCCUGUGGAGCACGUUUGCGCAGUGACUCACGACGAAAGGCGAGAAAUGAAAUAUACGCGGUGGGACAUAUUAUAAUAAUACAGACUCAGAUGAAAUGAAUACUCCAGUAUGGAAAUGAGGGAACACAGAACAGACAAGAAUCAUCCGAUGUAAGUCUUAUACUCCGGAGGACAUCCGAAAAAGCCAUCUUCUAUAGCAGAAGCAAUGAUAUUAGAUACAGAAGCAGCUGUUAUAGCGAAUUUUGAAUUUUUGGGACAUACAGACAUGGACAUGGAAGAGGAAGAAGGAGAUGGAGACGAUGAAAUUUAUGAUGCAAAUACAGGCAUCUAUUCCCCUUUUAGCGGAAGAUGUAGAUACAGAUACAGAGGCAGAAGUAUUAAAUGAAUUAAAUCUCCUCACAGAAAUUGAAGAAUCGCCACCUGGUUCUAUCCAUCUGAAAAUGAAUUCUUCAAAGGGGUUUAUUACAUAGAAGAUUACAACAAGAUCCAAGACGCCCAAAUAAUAAAGAAGGCGAUGACUCCACGCUGAAAUUAAGAGAAUUAAAAUAAUUAUGUGUUAACAAUGAUGCAGAAAUAUCGUACGAUGUAAGUUCCAAGAAUUUUCCCCUGUAUUUCAGUCGAGUCGUUUUUUCAGCUAUGUAAGAGUUACAGUUUGAAUGAAUACAGUUUGAUCUCUUCGAACAUUUCGAUAAUCUCUGCGAGCAUCAUGGAUGUGAGAUGAUAUCUACAUUGGACGACUGCUACUAUUGCGUAAGCGGAUGUCCCAAGCCGUGGUCCGAUCACAGAAAGUGCUGCAUAAAAAUGGGUCUAGCUAUGAUCGAAGCGAUCAAACAAUUCGACAUCGAAAGAAGGGAAGGUGUGAAUGAGAAUAGGUGUGCACACGGGCACCGUGUUCUGCGGGAUCGUGGGUACGAAAUGAUUCAAGUUCAAUAUCUGGUUGAACGAUGUGACAUUGGCGAAUAAACUUGAGAGCGGGAAACUGGAAAACCCUGUCGUGUACACUUGAGUGAGAAUAUCCUGAGAUUUCUGGAUGACCAGUACAUCAUGGAAUAUAUUUUUUCAAUAUAUUUUAUGUAAUAUGAUUUUUCUUUUACCUAUUAUAUAAAAAUAAUAUAUUUCAAUAAGAAUCAUAUAACUUCUAGAUGCUGUUACAUAUAUUGUUAAUAUAAUUUAAUAAAGUAUAAUAAUGAACAAUA